UGGGGGAUAUUGCACAAUGGGCGAAAGCCUGAUGCAGCGACGCCGCGUGGGGGAUGAAGGCUUUCGGGUUGUAAACCUCUUUCGCUAUCGAACAAGGCCCGCUUAGGGUGGGUUGAGUGUAGGUGGCGAAGAAGCGCCGGCUAACUACGUGCCAGCAGCCGCGGUAAUACGUAGGGCGCGAGGGUUGUCCGGAAUUAUUGGGCGUAAAGGGCUUGUAGGCGGCUUGUUGCGCCUGCUGUGAAAACGCGGGGCUUAACUUCGCGCGUGGAGUGGGUACGGGCAGGCUUGAGUGUGGUAGUGGUGACUGGAAUUCCAGGUGUAGCGGUGGAGUGCGCAGAUAUCUGGAGGAGCACCGAUGGCGAAGGCAGGUCACUGGGCCAUUACUGACGCUGAUGAGCGAAAGCAGGGGUAGCGAACAGG
rnacentral:rRNA from 1 species